UCAAAUCAGCAACUUCAGGCAACGGA
rnacentral:piRNA from 1 species